rnacentral:rRNA from 1 species
AUUGAACGCUAGCGGGAUGCUUUACACAUGCAAGUCGAACGGCAGCGCGGACUUCGGUCUGGCGGCGAGUGGCGAACGGGUGAGUAAUGUAUCGGAACGUGCCCAGUAGCGGGGGAUAACUACGCGAAAGCGUAGCUAAUACCGCAUACGCCCUACGGGGGAAAGCAGGGGAUCGUAAGACCUUGCACUAUUGGAGCGGCCGAUAUCGGAUUAGCUAGUUGGUGAGGUAACGGCUCACCAAGGCGACGAUCCGUAGCUGGUUUGAGAGGACGACCAGCCACACUGGGACUGAGACACGGCCCAGACUCCUACGGGAGGCAGCAGUGGGGAAUUUUGGACAAUGGGGGCAACCCUGAUCCAGCCAUCCCGCGUGUGCGAUGAAGGCCUUCGGGUUGUAAAGCACUUUUGGCAGGAAAGAAACGUCGCGGGCUAAUACCCCGUGGAACUGACGGUACCUGCAGAAUAAGCGCCGGCUAACUACGUG